CCGGCAGUUGGGAGAAGGACGGAUCAAGGUGUGGAGUGGGCACACGGCGGAGCAGCGCGAGCUCGUGGCGCGGUCGUUCGGCGGAGCCCUGCCGGG
rnacentral:tRNA from 1 species